AGAGUUUGAUCAUGGCUCAGGACGAACGCUGGCGGCGUGCCUAACACAUGCAAGUCGAACGGAGAAUUUCAAUAAGCUUGCUUAGAGAAAUUUUUAGUGGCGGACGGGUGAGUAACGCGUGGGUAACCUACCCAUAAAACCGGGACAACCCUUGGAAACGAGGGCUAAUACCGAAUAAUCUUAAAGUGCGGCAUCGUAGUUUAAGGAAAGGUGGCCUCUGUAUAUGCUACCGAUUAUGGAUGGACCCGCGUCUGAUUAGCUAGUUGGUGGGGUAAAGGCCUACCAAGGCGACGAUCAGUAGCCGGCCUGAGAGGGUGAACGGCCACACUGGGACUGAGACACGGCCCAGACUCCUACGGGAGGCAGCAGUGGGGAAUCUUCCGCAAUGGACGAAAGUCUGACGGAGCAACGCCGCGUGUAUGAUGAAGGUCUUCGGAUUGUAAAGUACUGUCUUUGGGGAAGAAUGAUUGGUUUGAAAAUAUUGAGCCAAUAUGACGGUACCCAAGGAGGAAGCCCUGGCUAACUACGUGCCAGCAGCCGCGGUAAUACGUAGGGGGCAAGCGUUGUCCGGAAUUAUUGGGCGUAAAGGGCGCGUAGGCGGAUAGUUAAGUCCGGUGUGAAAGAUCAGGGCUCAACCCUGAGAGUGCACCGGAAACUGGUUAUCUUGAGGACAGGAGAGGAAAGUGGAAUUCCACGUGUAGCGGUGAAAUGCGUAGAUAUGUGGAGGAACACCAGUGGCGAAGGCGACUUUCUGGACUGUAACUGACGCUGAGGCGCGAAAGCGUGGGGAGCAAACAGGAUUAGAUACCCUAGUAGUCC
rnacentral:rRNA from 1 species